rnacentral:rRNA from 1 species
AUGCGAUACUUGGUGUGAAUUGCAGAAUCUCGUGAACCAUUGAGUCUUUGAACGCAAGUUGUGCCCGAGGCCUUGUGGCCGAGGGCACGCCUGCUUGGGUGUCAUGGCAUCGCCGCCUCUGCUCCAUGCCCUGUCAUGGCCGAGCGCGGAAAUUGGCCCCGUGUGCCCUCGGGCACAGUCGGCCGAAGAGCGGGUAGUCUGCAGUCGUCGGGCACGACGGGCGUUGGUCGCCGUGAGCGGGAACCGAACGUCGUCCCCGUCGUCGUUUUCGGACGAACCCUCAAGAGACCCUGCGUGAUUGCGGCACCGGGCGAAAGAAAGAAAGCGCCGUGUCCGUCAAUCAACUUGUGGCCCCAAGUCAGGCGAGGCCACCCGCCGAGUUUAAGCAUAUCAAUAAG